rnacentral:rRNA from 1 species
GAUGAACGCUGGCGGCGUGCUUAACACAUGCAAGUCGAACGGAAAGGCCCUGCUUUUGUGGGUUUCUCGAGUGGCGAACGGGUGAGUAUCACGUGAGUAACCUGCCCUUGACUUUGGGAUAACUUUAGGAAACUGGGGCUAUUACCGGAUAGGAGCUCCUGCUGCAUGUUGGGGGUUGGAAAGUUUCGGCGGUUGGGGCUGGACUCGCGGCUUAUCGGCUAGUUUGUGGGGUAGUGGCUGACCAAGGCUAUGACGGGUAGCCGGCCUGAGAGGGGUACCGGCCACAUGGGUACUGAGGGACGGACCAGAAUGCAACCGGAGGCAGCAGGGGGGAAUAUUGCACAAUGAGCGGAAGCCAGAUGCAGAGACGCCGCGUGCGGAAAGACGGCCUUUGGGUGGUAAACCAAUUUCGCCUGUGACGAAGCGUGAGUGACGGUAAUGGGUAAAGAAGCACCGGCUAACUACGUG